rnacentral:rRNA from 1 species
GACGAACGCUGGCGGCGUGCUUAACACAUGCAAGUCGAACGGAAAGGCCCUGCUUUUGUGGGGUGCUCGAGUGGCGAACGGGUGAGUAACACGUGAGUAACCUGCCCUUGACUUUGGGAUAACUUCAGGAAACUGGGGCUAAUACCGGAUAGGAGCUCCUGCUGCAUGGUGGAGGUUGGAAAGUUUCGGCGGUUGGUGAUGGACUCGCGGCUUAUCAGCUUGUUGGUGGGGUAGUGGCUUACCAAGGCUUUGACGGGUAGCCGGCCUGAGAGGGUGACCGGCCACAUUGGGACUGAGAUACGGCCCAGACUCCUACGGGAGGCAGCAGUGGGGAAUAUUGCACAAUGGGCGGAAGCCUGAUGCAGCAACGCCGCGUGCGGGAUGACGGCCUUCGGGUUGUAAGCCGCUUUCGCCUGUGACGAAGCGUGAGUGACGGUAAUGGGUAAAGAAGCACCGGCUAACUACGUG